rnacentral:lncRNA from 1 species
UUUUAUUUUUUCCAGCUCUCUUUGUUGUCAUCUCCCUUUUUUAAUGUGCGUAAAGAUGUUCUUUAGGGUGUUCAAGUGUUCCCAAAAAAUCCGCCCCCUUUUAAUUGAAAGAAAGACAUCUCUUUUUUGGAGAGGCUAGUCUUGAAAGUGAUUCAAAGUAGCACCAAAAUCUGUCCAGAAUCAUGAAAAGGACUAUCCUUUUUUACUAAAAUUAGACACAAUUAAGGGUACUUGUACCUCAAACCUACUCCAAAUAGUAAAAGGCAAUAAACAUAUACCUUACACUCAAGUAUUUUAGCUUUUAUCAACAUAUGACUGAAAUUCAAGCAAAAGCACUCAUACUCAAACCAACUAUGAAUAGGCAAAGCUAGGACAUAAAUUCAAUUGCAAUUGAACUAGGUAUUUAAACAACUAGAUUAGAAUGAAUUCGAUUUAUGCAAACUAACAUGAAGUGAUUGAGAUAAUAAACUAACGUGCUAAACAGAAACUAAACGAGCAUGGUUAAACUAUCACAUAUGGCAAAUAAUAACUUAACAAAUGACUAACUAAAUAAACGAUUCAACAAAUCUUUUUUUUAUUUUUUCAUCAUACUAGCACAAAACAAUAAACUAUCGACCGGCUAGGUCGGAAAACUGAAAAUUCAAACUUAACAAAGUCACACAAAAUAGUCGACUGGCCAGGUCGAAGAAGCAAAAAUCGGGUCUAACAGACAAUAACGAACCACUUGAUCAACUAGGUCGAACAACAAGAAUUACAAAUAUAGCUAUACCAACUCAUUAAACGAUCAAAUUCGAGCACCAAUAAUCAGUAAAGACUAAAAAUUGAAUGACAAAAUUACAAAAGAUGAAUUGGAAACCAAAGCAUGGCAUACUGGUCGAUAAUAAGAAAACAAAACUAAAAUAAAAGGACAAGAUUUGGUAUUUACCACUGCUUGAGGUAACGAAUCCGAUCUUUGAGCAUCCUUUUCUUGAUAAUAGAUGAUGGUUCGGCCAUCCUUGAAAUCAUAUCCUUGGCACCAUUAUCGUAUCACAAAGAAAAGAACGCUUAAGAGUCGGGAAGGGAAACCGGAGGAAAGCGUGGCAGCUUGGUGGUGGUAGCCGACAGUGGAGGUGGUGGCUGGCAGUGGUGAGGUUUUUUAAGGAUUUGGUUUGGAGAUAUAGAGAGAGGGAGAGAAUAAGAGAUGGCAGUGCAAUUUUGGAGUAGUUUGGACGUCAAGCAGCGACAGCAGUGGUGACGACGCGACUAGCGUUUGAUUUUAUUGAUUAUUUGUGGAGAUUUGAGGGAUUUUGGUUGUGGAUUUGGAAUGAGGGGAGUGAGAUGAUGAGAUUUUGGGGUGGAUUGGAGGUGGUCCGCCAGCAGCUGCGAUUUUCGGCUGGAGGAGCCACUAUAAGAAGGUGGCGGCGGCGGCACAUAGAAAAGGGAGAGAAAAGAAGAGCUCUAGGGUUUGGGUUGGCUGUAAAUGAGACCAAAAAUUUAAUUUUGGCCUUUAUUUUAGUUGAGGACAAAUUUAGGCCAUUAAAUUAAGAUGAAAUGAAUGGCCAUGAUAGAUUGUCAUUUACUUAACCAAAACGACGUAGUUUUAUUUUGAAACUUCGUCAUUUCAAAUCCUCAUCUUGUAAGACAUAUUAUUCACAACAAUAAAACAUUACACACUGCUUUUCUUGCUUAAUGUCCUCAAGAUUU